GACGAACGCUGGCGGCGUGCUUAACACAUGCAAGUCGAACGAAAAGAGGGAAAGAGCUUGCUCUUUCCGGAAUUGAGUGGCAAACGGGUGAGUAACACGUAAACAACCUGCCUUCAGGAUGGGGACAACAGACGGAAACGACUGCUAAUACCGAAUAAGUUCCAAGAGCCGCAUGGCCCAUGGAAGAAAAGGUGGCCUCUACCUGUAAGCUAUCGCCUGAAGAGGGGUUUGCGUCUGAUUAGCUGGUUGGAGGGGUAACGGCCCACCAAGGCGAGGAUCAGUAGCCGGUCUGAGAGGAUGAACGGCCACACUGGAACUGAGACACGGUCCAGACUCCUACGGGAGGCAGCAGUGGGGAAUCUUCCGCAAUGGGCGAAAGCCUGACGGAGCAACGCCGCGUGAGUGAUGACGGCCUUCGGGUUGUAAAACUCUGUGAUCCGGGACGAAAAGGCAGAGUGCGAAGAACAAACUGCAUUGACGGUACCGGAAAAGCAAGCCACGGCUAACUACGUG
rnacentral:rRNA from 1 species